rnacentral:piRNA from 1 species
UACGGAAGUCGGCGCCUGUAU